rnacentral:miRNA from 1 species
GGGAGUGAAUGUGAGAUUGAGAGAGAGGAUGAGAGGGGAGGAUGGGAGGGAGGAGUAACAAAAGUGACAAAAACUUGAAAGUGAAAACAAUUUCAAAUAGAUUUCAGUUUUUAAUUUUUGUUUUCAAUUUUGUUACUUCUCCCUCCCAUCCUCCCCUCUCAUCUUCCCUCUAAAUCCCAUCUUCACUCU